CAGUAGCCGCGGUAAGACGAACCGUGCGAACGUUAUUCGGAAUCACUGGGCUUAAAGCGCGUGUAGGCGGGAGGGCACGUCCGUCGCUGAAAUCCCCCGGCUCAACCGGGGAACGGGCGCGGAUACGACUCUUCUGGAGGAACGUAGGGGGACCUGGAACUUCCGGUGGAGCGGUGAAAUGCGUUGAGAUCGGAAGGAACGCCCGUGGCGAGAGCGAGGUCCUGGACGUUUACUGACGCUGAGACGCGAAAGCCAGGGGAGCGAACGGGAUUAGAGACCCGUGUAGUCCCUGUCUCUUAUA
rnacentral:rRNA from 1 species